rnacentral:rRNA from 1 species
GAUGAACGCUGGCGGCGUGCCUAAUACAUGCAAGUCGAACGCACAGCGAGAGGUGCUUGCACCUUUCAAGUGAGUGGCGAACGGGUGAGUAACACGUGGAUAACCUACCUCAAGGUUGGGGAUAACAUUUGGAAACAGAUGCUAAUACCGAAUAAAACUUAGUAUCGCAUGAUACCAGGUUAAAAGGCGCUACGGCGUCACCUAGAGAUGGAUCCGCGGUGCAUUAGUUAGUUGGUGGGUAAAGGCUUACCAAGACAAUGAUGCAUAGCCGAGUUGAGAGACUGAUCGGCCACAUUGGGACUGAGACACGGCCCAAACUCCUACGGGAGGCUGCAGUAGGGAAUCUUCCACAAUGGGCGAAAGCCUGAUGGAGCAACGCCGCGUGUGUGAUGAAGGCUUUCGGGUCGUAAAGCACUGUUGUAUGGGAAGAACAGCUAGAGUAGGGAAUGACUUUAGUUGACGGUACCAUACCAGAAAGGGACGGCUAAAUACGUG